CUUUUAUUCUCCUCAGUCUACUGCUUGCAGCUUUUCUUCUCAUCUCUUCCACUGUGUCUGCUGAGACAUCUCUAGAUGAGAAAAAUGAGAAGGAAAUAAACAGUGUCGAUGAUGCGAAGUACCGCUGCAAGUAUGGUUGCUGUGGUGGUUCUGGCCGCUAUGGGUGCAUGAAGUGCUGCAGCAAACCUACUGAUGUUCAUGCUACAGAAACCGAGCCUAAACGAGUGGAAGCUGCUCCUGCAGAAGUGGACCAGGUAGCUGAUGCAAGUACUCAAGGUGGUGGCGGUUAUGGAGGAGGAGGCGGACAUGGUGGUGGCCACGGUGGCGGACAUGGUGGUGGCCACGG